GUCCAGACUCCUACGGGAGGCAGCAGUGGGGAAUAUUGCACAAUGGGGGAAACCCUGAUGCAGCGACGCCGCGUGAGCGAUGAAGUAUUUCGGUAUGUAAAGCUCUAUCAGCAGGGAAGAAAAUGACGGUACCUGACUAAGAAGCCCCGGCUAACUACGUGCCAGCAGCCGCGGUAAUACGUAGGGGGCAAGCGUUAUCCGGAUUUACUGGGUGUAAAGGGAGCGUAGACGGCUGUGCAAGCCAGAUGUGAAAGCCCGGGGCUCAACCCCGGGACUGCAUUUGGAACUGUGUGGCUGGAGUGUCGGAGAGGCAGGCGGAAUUCCUAGUGUAGCGGUGAAAUGCGUAGAUAUUAGGAGGAACACCAGUGGCGAAGGCGGCCUGCUGGACGAUGACUGACGUUGAGGCUCGAAAGCGUGGGGAGCAAACAGGAUUAGAUACCCCCGUAC
rnacentral:rRNA from 1 species